CCCCACUGCUAUCGGGAUGGGACUAAGACAUGCUAGUCGUGCGUCUCCAAGCCAUGGCGGAGACGCGGCGCACAGCUCAGUAACACGUGGCUAACCUGCCCUUAGGACAGGGACAACCCCGGGAAACUGGGGCUAAUCCCUGAUAAGUGAGAACUCCUGGAAUGGAUUCUCGCUCAAAGGACGUUUAGACCAUGCUUCUAAGCGUCGCCCAAGGAGGGGGCCGCGACCGAUCAGGUUGUUGGUGAGGUAACGGCUCACCAAGCCUUUAACCGGUACGGGCCGUGAGAGCGGAAGCCCGGAGAUGGGCACUGAGACAAGGGCCCAGGCCCUACGGGGCGCAGCAGUCGCGAAAACUCCGCAAUACACGAAAGUGUGACGGGGCUAUCCCGAGUGCCAUCCGCUGAGGAUGGCUUUUCCCCAGUGUAUAAAGCUGGGGGAAUAAGGAGAGGGCAAGCCUGGUGUCAGCCGCCGCGGUAAUACCAGCUCUCCGAGUGGUGGGGAUGUUUAUUGGGCCUAAAGCAUUCGUAGCCUGCUUGGCAAGUCCUCCGUUAAAUCCAACGAUUCAAUCGUUGGGCUGCGGGGGAUACUGUCCGGCUAGGGGGCGGGAGAGGCCGACGGUAUCCCCGGGGUAGGGGUGAAAUCCUAUAAUCCCGGGAGGACCACCAGUGGCGAAGGCUGUCGGCUAGAACGCGCUCGACGGUGAGGGAUGAAAGCUGGGGGAGCGAACCGGAUUAGAUACCCGGGUAGUCCCAGCUGUAAACGAUGCAGGCUAGGUGUUGGCGCGGCUACGUGCCGCUCCAGUGCCGCAGGGAAGCCGUUAAGCCUGCCGCCUGGGAAGUACGGCCGCAAGGCUGAAACUUAAAGGAAUUGGCGGGGGAGCACCACAAGGUGUGAAGCUUGCGGUUU
rnacentral:rRNA from 1 species